rnacentral:rRNA from 1 species
CCUACGGGCGGCAGCAGUGGGGGAUAUUGCACAAUGGGGGAAACCCUGAUGCAGCGACGCCGCGUGGGUGAAGAAGCGCCUCGGCGCGUAAAGCCCUGUCAGCAGGGAAGAAAAUGACGGUACCUGAAGAAGAAGCCCCGGCUAACUACGUGCCAGCAGCCGCGGUAAUACGUAGGGGGCAAGCGUUAUCCGGAUUUACUGGGUGUAAAGGGGGCGCAGACGGGGAUGCAAGCCAGUAGUGAAAGCCCGGGGCCCAACCCCGGGACUGCUCUUGGAACUGCGUGGCUAGAGUGCAGGAGGGGCAGGCGGAAUUCCUGGUGUAGCGGUGAAAUGCGUAGAUAUCAGGAGGAACACCGGUGGCGAAGGCGGCCUGCUGGACUGCAACUGACGUUGAGGCCCGAAAGCGUGGGGAGCAAACAGGAUUAGAUACCCCAGUAGUC